rnacentral:rRNA from 1 species
AGCAGCCGCGGUAAAUUCCAGCUCCAAUAGCGUAUAUUAAAGUUGUUGCAGUUAAAAAGCUCGUAGUUGAAUUUCGGGGUUAGCAGGUCGGUCGUGCCAAUGGUAUGCACUGGCUCGCUGACUCCUCCUUCUUGUAGAACCGUAAUGCCAUUAAUUUGGUGUUGCGGGGAAACAGGACUGUUACUUUGAAAAAAUUAGAGUGUUUAAAGCAGGCUAGCGCCUGAAUACAUUAGCAUGGAAUAAUGAAAUAGGACGUUCGAACCUAUUUUGUUGGUUUCUAGGAUUGACGUAAUGAUUAAUAGGGAUAGUUGGGGGCAUUAGUAUUCAAUUGUCAGAGGUGAAAUUCUUGGAUUUAUUGAAGACUGACUACUGCGAAAGCAUUUGCCAAGGAUGUUUU